rnacentral:rRNA from 1 species
ACGCAAUAGAUACCCAGGUAGUCCACGCAGUAAACGAUGAUUACUAGCUGUAUGCGAUACACAGUAAAGCGGCACAGCGAAAGCGUUAAGUAAUCCACCUGGGGAGUACGCCGGCAACGGUGAAACUCAAAGGAAUUGACGGGGGCCCGGCCACAAGCGGAGGAACAAUGUGGUUUAAUUACCGAUGAUACGCGAGGAACCGUUACCCGGGUUUCGGUAACGUAGGGAGACAGGGGUGGGAAGCAUCCUUUUCUAGCAAUGACUGCCUACGAGGUGCUGCAUGGUUGUCGUCAGCUCGUGCCGUGAGGUGUCGGCUUAAGUGCCAUAACGAGCGCAACCCUUAUUUCCAGUUACUAACAGGUGAAGCUGAGGGCUCUGGAGAGACUGCCAGCGUAAGCUGUGAGGAAGGU